rnacentral:rRNA from 1 species
GACGAACGCUGGCGGCAUGCCUUACACAUGCAAGUCGAACGGCAGCGCGGGGGCAACCCUGGCGGCGAGUGGCGAACGGGUGAGUAAUACAUCGGAACGUGUCCUUUUGUGGGGGAUAACCAGUCGAAAGAUUGGCUAAUACCGCAUGAGAUCGCAAGAUGAAAGCAGGGGACCUGCAAGGGCCUUGCGCGAGAGGAGCGGCCGAUGUCCGAUUAGCAGUUGGUGAGGUAACGGCUCACCAAGGCGACGAUCGGUAGCUGGUCUGAGAGGACGACCAGCCACACUGGGACUGAGACACGGCCCAGACUCCUACGGGAGGCAGCAGUGGGAAUUUUGGACAAUGGGGCAACCCUGAUCCAGCCAUGCCGCGUGUGUGAUGAAGGCCU